rnacentral:rRNA from 1 species
CAGUCGCCACGGUAAUACGAAGGGUGCAAGCGUUAAUCGGAAUUACUGGGCGUAAAGCGUGCGUAGGCGGUUUCUUAAGUCUGCUGUGAAAUCCCCGGGCUCAACCUGGGAAUGGCAGUGGAUACUGGGAAGCUAGAGUGUGUCAGAGGAUGGUGGAAUUCCCGGUGUAGCGGUGAAAUGCGUAGAGAUCGGGAGGAACAUCAGUGGCGAAGGCGGCCAUCUGGGACAACACUGACGCUGAGGCACGAAAGCGUGGGGAGCAAACAGGAUUAGAUACCCCUGUAGUCCCUGUCUCUUAUAC